CCCGCUCAGAAACUUAAAGGAAGUUGACGGGGGCCCGGCACAAGCGGUGGAGCAUGUGGUUUAAUUCGAUGAUACGCGAGGAACCUUACCUGGGCUCAAAUGUAUGUUGACGUAUUCUGAAAGGGAUACUUCUUCGGACAAUAUACAAGGUGCUGCAUGGUUGUCGUCAGCUCGUGCCGUGAGGUGUCGGGUUAAGUCCCAUAACGAGCGCAACCCCUAUCAUUAGUUGCCAUCAGGUCAAGCUGGGGACUCUAAUGAAACUGCCUACGCAAGUAGUGAGGAAGGUGGGGAUGACGUCAAAUCAGCACGGCCCUUACGUCCAGGGCUACACACGUGCUACAAUGGCCGGUACAAAGGGCAGCUACCUGGUGACAGGAUGCUAAUCUCAAAAGCCGGUCUCAGUUCGGAUCGGAGUCUGCAACCCGACUCCGUGAAGCUGGGAUCGCUAGUAAUCGCGCAUCAGCCAUGGCGCGGUGAAUACGUUCCCGGGCCUU
rnacentral:rRNA from 1 species